rnacentral:rRNA from 1 species
CAGUAGCCGCGGUAAUACGUAGGGUGCGAGCGUUAAUCGGAAUUACUGGGCGUAAAGCGUGCGCAGGCGGUUGUGUAAGACAGGUGUGAAAUCCCCAGGCUUAACCUGGGAACUGCGCUUGUGACUGCACAGCUAGAGUAUGGCAGAGGGGGGUGGAAUUCCACGUGUAGCAGUGAAAUGCGUAGAGAUGUGGAGGAACACCGAUGGCGAAGGCAGCCCCCUGGGCCAAUACUGACGCUCAUGCACGAAAGCGUGGGGAGCAAACAGGAUUAGAUACCCCUGUAGUCCCUGUCUCUUAUAC